UAACCCUGAGUCUUGAUUCGGAAGCUUAAUAAGUUUCCAAACAUAUUAUUAACAAGUGUGGACAAAAAAAUUAUAGGAAGAUAAAGAAAAAAGGAGCAAGUAUAAAGACUAGAGGUGCAUUAAUAGUAGUCAGGAGUCAUACAUUCAGGGAGAGGUGCACUCCCUCUACAGCCCUUGAAAUGUCUCAUCUGAUUCAGAAUUAAAUCGUUGCCUUAUCUCGGCUGUGUAGCCAUACUGUAUCACAGAAUAUAUGCUCCAUCAAUAUCCUAAAAGUUAUGGCCAGAAGGAUUCGUGAUUUUGGUAUCUGGAUUUCGGUGUAAGUCUUCUCAAGAGAGGGCCUGAUUUGGAUUGUGAUUUCUUUGUUCAUUCUGUGCCUUCUGCUAAGAAGUGUCCUUAGUUGUGGGAAAAAUAACCCUGAACUGAACAGUGAAUUCCCAAAGCCAGCAUGAAUUCCAAGCACUGGUCAGCUACCAAGAAAAUUCUGCACUGACCCGUGGCCUCCAAGAGAGCUGGAUAUGUGAAACAAACCCCGAGGAGCUUCUGGACCUUGUUUGAUGGUGAAAGCAGACCACCAGGAAAACAUUGUCCCCAAGCCCUGCAUUGUUAAAUUAUCACCAUCUGAAACUAAUCAAGCAUUUUGGGGAUCAAGGUAAUAAAGCGUGGAGGCUACAAAUGUACUGCUCGUAGCAAACAAGUUCAAAUGAGAAGGAUGAGCUAAUAGGUCCAGGGGGAGGUGAACGAGAGAAUUCUGAUGAUUAUAGCUAUUUGGAAAUCCGUGGAGGGAGGAUCCCCAUGGCUGAGAAACAUUUCCACACCUAGAAUUUGUGGAGGAUGAGGUUUUGGUGGUGACGAGUUCUUUGAUGUCUUUUCCUUUCCCCGCCUGUAUCCAAGCUUCACUUUAGCCUCAACCAGCAUCUUGCUCCCAGGUGAGGUUAAUUCCUAGAUGCUGUGGGGAGCUAUCAGCCAACUUAUUAAAAGCCUGUUUAAUUAGUAAUGAUAUUGCAUUUUCACAAGGAAAGCAUGCACACAAACGUCUGAAGUUGCGAAUUACAGUAACAGGGGAUAAUCUGCAGAGAGACAACAACAAGAGAUAUUAAUUGCAGCGCCCAGACUUGCCCAUGUAUUGUGCUUAAAGCCAUCCAACUGAUGAGUGUGCAUGUGGGAUAUUUGACUAAAAGCUCUCUUAGGAGAAAACAGAAUAAAGCAACAGAAAUGAAGGGGGAGAGAAGAGGAAGGAUAAUUUCCGUACCAUGUCACUGUGUUGAUUCAGAUAUCAACAAUCUUCUGCUGGAGAGGUACUUGCAAAAAUAAGCCAGGAGGUUUCCCUGCAUGAUGCCAUAGCACAAACUUGCACCAGCAUUAUGUAGUUCCCAAAUGAAGGUCAUUUACCCUAAUGUCAAGCGGAAUUCCCUUUGUUGCUUGACAAAAAGUGUCCAGCUCAGGAUGAAGAGACAACCAGAGAAACAAAAUGAAGCUGGACAGUCUGCAUAUGAAAAACACAUCUGAGUGCUUCGAGCAUUUGCAGGCCUGAAGCUGAUUUCCCUCUGUGGCAAAAGGAGCUGAAGGGCACCAUGGGAUCACUGAAUCUUUCUCUGCAUAAAUAACAGCAAAGUCAGAAAUGCAUGGAGAAGAUCUGGCCUUAGCAGGGUAAGGGUGGCUUUAGCUGUUAGUAAAUUAAGAACAACACCUACACUUCAGCUACUGUUUAAUUAGGAAAAUCAACAUAUUUCAUGCAAAAUAUUAUAACAAAAUAAAUUUGUAGCAAUAAAGUAUCUGGAUGAGUAUUUCCCAGGUUUCUGUCGUUUUCCCAGUGUUGCAAAUAUGCUGCGUUAUUGCUUUCCAGAAAUUCUUACUGCUUUGUUUCCAAAAUACCCUGAAAAGAUUCAUGCUUUUUCCUCUCUUCCUAUCUACAGUGUGAAGGUCCAUCUGUGCUUUCCGCUGCAAGCUACAAAGCCAGAAGUUUCCUUGUCCUGGAAAGGGUGAUUUUAUCCAAGAUCUUCAAAGGAGAGUGAGCCAUGUGGCUGUAGGGAUGCAGUCCAACCGACUCAUGAGGAGCUCAGCAGAAGGAGAUGAGGCACAUGGUAGGUAGUAUGUCAGUCCUGGGGUGAUGGAGAGCUUCCCAUGGGAUCACGCCAGUGCUGGUGCUAUUGGUGAGUGAAUGCAGUUGGUUGAGUCACAGCUCGCAAGGGAGAUCCAGAUCUUUGCAGGUACCCAUCUCCAUUGGUCCUAGAGCCUCAGAGCUGUGUAGGCAUAUCACAUCGAUCGAUUGCAGAGGGGCUGAACACCAUAACAUGUCUCCCUAUGGAUUUCUGAGCAGAUGUCUUGAGCUCCAACCUCUGAAAAACAAAAUGGGUGACUUUAAGAUAACCCAGAGGAGAGGAAAAAGGGACAAUAUGAGGUCAUCGAGUACAAAUAACCACACAGAGCACUAGGCUUGCCCAGGUAUACGGCUCACUGAAGCCAAAGAAAAGAUCCUUCACGGUUUCAGCAGAUCAGACCCAGACUUUUUGGCUGAGUGGGCUGGAGCUCUGCCUGCCUCCUGCCUCCUCCCAGGGUGAGUGAAAAGCAGCCCAGAGACAAUAAGGCAAACCCGCCCUUUGAUUUAAGCAAGGUUUGGCCAGGGCCCAGUGCAAGCCUCUGAUGAGAUCCAUAGCUGUAAGUGACUUAGCCUGUGUCAGAGUGCAAAUGACAUCCCCGCCUGCCACGUGCACACCCUGCUACAGUAAAGAUGUCAUUAGAUACUCCACAUCUGAGGCAGACCACUUUUGCCAAACCCUGGCCCCAUAGAAUUUGGCAUGGCUUACAGAGAUUAGCCUAUUAGUAUUUAUUAUCGUUACUAUUUAAUAUCGUUCUCCAAAUAGUCAGCAGGGGAGUAGGGAUUGCGGGUAACCUGCGGGCCAGUGAAAUUUCAGGAGGAGAAAACUUUUUAGCUUCUAGAGCUGUUUCUCUCUCUUUGCUUUCCAUGGAGCACGCCUGGCUGGCUGAGCCAUGCGUGGAGCUAGGGUGACAGCCUGUGGCAAAACAGAAGAAUUUCAAUGUAUUAAUCCUUUUGAUUUCCACUUUCUUUUGAUCUUUUCUUUACUUCCUGCUUGUCAGGCCAUACAAAGGUGGUGAAGUUUGGGUCACUACCAUCAACUCUGCUUUGAAGAAUGGACAAUUGCCAGCCUUUCUCCCUCUUCUUUCUCUCCACUUGUUUUUUAUCUGUUUAUCUAUCUAUCAGGUGCUGCAUUUAACAACAAUUUAUUUGACAAGACGUUCUGUGACAUGGGUGCUGUUAGAGCCAUGUCGUGGCAGGGUCUUCUUGUUGGCAGGGCAAAAAACAGCUCUCUCAAGAGCAAGGCAGCAGCCUCUAUAACAAAUAUUUCUAAUAACACAUGAAGCAUGUUUUAAUUCCCUCAAAUGUUUAUUCUGGGUCAGAGUUUUCUUCUGCUGCUGCUUCUUCCCUUCUUCCUCUUGAGCAGGAGAGGGCUUUAUUAUUACUAUUUUUUCAAUCUAUAUUCUUUCUAUACUCUACCCAAAUUAAUCAAAUAAAUUUUCUUUAAAGCAACACUAAAUGAGUUACAGAUGGUUUUGCCCUUUUACAGGUUGCAGAAAUCACCCAUUACAGUUCUUUUAAUUUAUCAGUGAGGGAAAAUAAGAUGGCCUCUUGCUCCCUUUGCAGUAAUAAUCAGAAACAGUCUAUUUGGAGUUUAAUUUACCCCAAAUACAUAUUGAUAGUUGCAAUGAGGAAUAUGUGACCUCUUUGGGAGUCACCGGUGGAUGGAAGGUGGAUAGCUUUUAUAAAACCACCUUUAAUAAAAAAGAGUGUUAUAUUGAGUAUGUUUGGUGCUGUAUUUAAGCAUAUGGUUUCCAUAUCAGGAGCUAAGAUGGCAAACACAUGCUUUACCUUCUGUGUAACCUUUCUUGUACUCCUCAGUCCUCACAAAAAAAGAAAGCUACAAGGGAUUUUUGGGUUUUUCUUGGUUUUUGGGUUUUGGGUUUUUUUUGCUAUUUUACAAUGCUGAUUAUAUGGAAAAGCUGAAGAAAUUUCACAAGGAAUGCAAAACUUGUACCUCAUCUGCUUUUUUAUUUUUUAUUUAUUUUGCCCAUAUAAAGAGAGGACGAGACUGAAAUCUGUCCAUGGGCUUCACCCUGUCCUCCUGGUGGAACCCAAAGGGAGACUGAUCCUCUGGACCUCAAGGCCAAUAUUCACAACUGGAUUCCCUCCUGCAGCUCCUGGCACUGUAACUCCUGCCCAGGGGAUAGGAACAAGGACAGGGACACGGGACAGGGCCAGCUCUGGAGAGGGGCUGCCUUGCUCUGCCAGUGAUAAAUCUAGUGGUCCCCUCGCUUUUUCAUCACUUGCCUAAUCCCGUGCCCUUCUUUUCAUGUGCCGUAAUUGCUCCCAGCUGCUCCCACAGCCCAACCGUGCAGAGAUUGUGAACAAGGCCCCACAGAACAAUGGCAAUGGCUGCUCCGUGCUGCCUCUGGCCUGUGCCUCCUGCAGCCCACAUCUGCCCUGCUGUGUCCCAUUUGGGGAGCGGGCCUUUCCCCCUGACCUUGCUCCAGGCUGAGGAGGGUCCUGGGGGGCACAGUGCCCCUAAAACAAUAGCAAAUGUUACUAGAAAAAAGCAAAACAACUUCAACGUUGCCAUUGCUGGGGAUAGAACAGCCCUCAGGUUGGAUUCCACAUGUGCUGGUCCUCAUAGCCCAUGAGGUGACCAGAGCCUUCAGGAUCAGACCUUCACCUAACACAAGUUCUUCCUACCCUCCUUAACCAUUUGCUUCCCGCUGAGAAAGGCUGCAUCCUUUCCCAAGUUAAUUGCAUCUUUCUGGGUUGGAUAAGGUAUAUCUCAUUAGAGGGGGAGAGGGGUUUAAUGUGAACUUCAAGCUGAUGUCUCCAUGCUACAGAAAGUAUGUAUUUUCUAUAAUUGCUCUUUGGCAUUCCUUGUCUUUCCUGACUAAUUAGAGUGAAAGAAAAUCACCCAAGGGAUGGAACACCUCUCUACAAUGACAAACUGAGAGAGCUGGGGCUGUUCAGUCUGGAGAAGAGAAGGCUCUGGGGAGACCUAAGAGUGGCCUGUUCGUAUCUAAAGGGAUGACUACAGGAAAGAAAGGAACAGAUUCUUUAGCAGGGUCUGUUGUGAUAGGGAAAGUGGUCUCAAACUAAAAAAGAGGAGGUCAUAUUGUACAUAUAUAUAUAUACAUAUAUGUAUUUACAAUAAGGGUAGUGAAGCACUUGCACAGGUUUUCCAGACAGGUGGUGGAUGUCCCAUCCCUGGAGACAUUUGGAGUCAGUCUGGAUGGGGCACUAAGCAUCUGACUGGGCUGUAGGUAUCCACUGCAAGAGAGCUGGACCAGAUGGCCUUUAUAUCCCCCUUCCAGCUUAAGCAGUUCUAUGAUUCUAUGAUUAUUCUCACAGACUCAGGAACUCUGCCUAUAAAAUGCCUGUGUGCCACCUCACCUUAUUCUUGCAGCGUGAUCUUGCAUUUUUUACUCAGUGACACCUUUUUGUAUUUUAUCAUUACUUGUUCUUGAGGUACUACUAAAAAUAUCUCCUUUUUCAGCUGUUGAAUUUAUUUUCCCUUUGCACAGCCUCAUUCAAGGGGAAAUUGGACUGAUUAGUACCUGUUUGCUGGGCUCUGCUGCAUUAUGACACUAACAUGUGGCAUUAUUUCAAACCAGGUGUCAUUUUCUUUAAAACAACCUUUGGUGACAAAAAAUCAAAGAUAAAAAUAGCAGUUUUAGCUACGCAAAAUUCAUUUUGAUAUGCAUUUCCCAAGGCCCUGAUGUGAGAUGUAUCUUCUAAGUGCAGUACAUCAGUUAAUGUCAGCAGUUAGACUCAAUGAUCCUUAUGGGUCUCUUCCAACCUGGGAUUUUCUAUGACUCUAUGAUUCUGUUGCUUUGCUCACAGACCGCAUGCAGCAGCCAUCUGCAGCCUGAGCUUCUCCUCCUGCCUUGUUAUGAUGUCCACCCAAGCUGGAGCAACCCCCCCAGCCCUACACUUCACGGCCCCAUCACAUUGCAUCCCAUUGCACAGUGGUGGAAGGCAAGGGAGGGGCUUCAAAGGCGCUGGUCACACAAUGGAGUUGGAGUAACUAGCUGCUGACAGAUUUAUAGGCUUCAGUCCAAUUAAAGUGCUGUUUAUUGCUUUUAGAAGGGGCCUGUUUGUUUCUAAUUUUAGAAGUAGGUUGGGGAAGUGAUUAGAACUGUGAGUAGGGGACCUGAGAUUUUUCACUAGGGCUGCUGCUUCUAUUAAUUAAUAGGCAUUGAUAACUGUUUAGCCUGGGACCGACCACGGCAGGGCGGAAAUUCAGGGCAGCACCCAAGCAGUAGCAAAUGGGCUUUGCUUUGCUCCCCCUGUCCUGCUACAUCUGCUGAUUUUGGUGUGUAUUUGACCAGCCAAGUGGAAAGACUCCCCUUGUUCCCCAAGCAUCUCUUCUGCUCUCUCAAGUUCAUUCAUUUUAUGUGCUCCUUUUAAAGAGAAUAAAAAGUAUGCUGGUAUGAAUGAUUGUUCCUAUCUCUGGCCAGCAGCAACAGGAACCUUGGGCCAAUUGCCAGAAGGAAGUGGAGAAAUUUUGCCUGAGAGAUGAAAUCAGAGCUGGAAUCAGGAUUCCUGUGUUGUGCCCCUAAGUUUGUGCAGUUUUGCUGUACAGUGGUGGGAAGCUCCUUUGAUGUCAGCUUCCCACUGUCUAGAAAAGCUGCAAUAUAAAGUUAUUGUAAAACUUGGUUAUUUGUUUGUGCGGUACUUUGAGAGCCGCUGGUGAAAGGCGCUGGAUAACUGCAUGGUUCCCUGUGGUUUGUAAAACAUGCAUUGAUCACCAUUUACCAGAAGGCAAUGACAGUGGGUUUAUAACAGAGUGAAGCUUGACCCAGACACAGCACACUCAUGUUUCCAGGUCCUGGGGAAGUUUAUGUCCUGAACAUGCAUCCAAGCCCAGCGACUGUGCAGAAGACAGAAGGAAAAACCACAUCCCAACAUGCCAGCCUUGGGAUUGGGAGGUCCCAUCCCCUGCCGCUGGAGUUUGGCCUGGAACUGGGGCAUCCCAUAAGAACUCAUAUCUGUCGGACACAGACAGAGCCCAGUGAGCCUCACCUUUCCUUCCCCUGCCCUGAGCCAUCUGCAAUAAUCCUUCAGCUGUGGGCCGAAGACGUAAGAAAUAAACUGCAAUAAAAAAGAUAAAAGGGAGCAUAAAUCAAUUUCUGUGAUAGCUGAGGCUUGAAGUAUGCCUAAAUAUCACUUAGAUUGUACGCUGUUUGGGCCAUGUGCCAUCCUUUUAUUGCUUAUCUGUGUACAGGAGAUUUCAUUGACAAUCUGUUAAAAAUAUAUAUCUCUAUUUUGGCUGAAUCUAAAAUUUUUUUAGCAGGAAACAAAAAUAUUUGAUCUGUUAUUAUUUUUUUUUUCCUCUAAAACUGAUUUUUUUUCUUUUCAAAACAAGUAGAGGAAAGCAGGUUGUUAGGUUUUAAGUUCAAUAAAAGCAAUACUUUUCUUUUUCAAGGCAGUUUUUUGCCUAUAGCUAUAUCUAAUAUACAGCAUUUCCUUAGAAACCUAUCAGCCAUAAGCAGGAUUAUUACAGAAAAAUAGAAGCCUGUUAGGAUGCCAGGAGGGGAGAAUAUAAUCUCACCUUUUUCUUUCAUCCUAACAGACAGCUUCAGUGGGCUAAUAGCCAAGAAGGUCAGAAUAUUAAAGCGCCCUGCACAGACCACAGCAGAUGGAAAAGAUCUGAGUUGGGCAAAAUGCUCCUUGCUAAAAGUUGUGCUGAUAUGUGAAACCAUUUCAGGAGAGCAGAGCACCAGGAAAGGAACAUCGUGCCUCUUGGACACAUUUUGUGAUACUUCAAAGGAAUUACUUGCGGUGUCAGUGAUGUAUAUUGCUUCUAACACUCUGAAAACCAUCCUUCUCAAAUGGGGGUUGGUCCUACGGGUCACUCUUAGGAGAAUAUCUAAAAUCAGGCCACUCUGCUGGACUCGGAGCAGCAGUCAGUGCUGUAAUUGGAAGAAGGUUGAGAACAUAUGGGAAUGGAAGCCCCAAGGGACUUUGGUUGGACAGUGAUAUCCCAGUGCUCCCUUAUACUUUCCAAGUAGUUUGGAAAGAUCUGACAUCAUGGAGCUGCAGAGCACCACCUGAGCUUUUGGUAGAGACAAAGUCUCUAUGAACCUCUCACCAGCUGUCAUUUAAAUAGACACUAGCAGGAGGAGAGUCAAACAGGGGUUUUAUAGGUUUAGGAAUCCUUCAGCAUUAUCAAGCCAACUGCAUUUCUUCAUGGAAUGACUGGUCUUUUAUUCAUCAGAUGAAUGUUAACAUUCAUAAACUUCUUCCUAGUAACUCUUACUAUAGAAUAUGAUGAAAAUAAUAAAUAUGUUGAAGGAGCUUCCAGGACAUCAUUUGGGCUCCACUACUGAUUCACUCUGCAACCUUGGGUGAGUCUUUUAACGCCAGGUGCCUCCUGAUUCCUCUCUGAUGAGUUAACAAAUGCAAAAAGACUAAGAAAAUGGAGAAAGCAGUUACAUUUGUAGGUAACAGAAGCUUAUUUUCAGACCAGUGGAUGCCAAUAGCCCAUAGCCAAUAAGUCACGUAUAGAAUCAUAGAAUCAUUUAGGUUGGAAAAGACCUUUAAAAUCUUCUAGUCCAAUCAUCCACUUACCACCAGUAUUGCCCACUAAACCAUGUCCCUUAGUACCACAUCUACGCAUCACCUCCAGGGUGAGUCUACCAACUCCCUGGGCAGCCCUUUCCAGUGACCAUUGACUCUUUUGGAGAAGAAGUUUUUCCUAAUAUCCAACCUGAAGGGAGAAUUUGGUGGAGUCCUCUCUUCUGAGAACAUCACAAAUGCAAAAAAAUAACCACCUAUGUGAUGCACGAAGUCUAAUAAUAGAAUGAGUUAUACUUUACAGACACAUCCCUGACAUGGGGUGAGGCUCCAAAACUGAAUACCAGAGGUUGCUGAUACACUGAGCCAUUGGAGUAAUAUUUUAAGUAAAAAAGUAUUUUAAUAUUUUAAGUAAAAUCCAGACUUCUUUCAGUUCUUAUAAAUAGUGAGACUAGGAAUACAAGAGUUCCAGCUCAUAGAAACUUGAUGCAUGGUUCAUACCCUGUGCUUUGCUGAAUGUAAUUAGAACACGGCACAAGUCUGAUGAUAAAUAAUUGUGGGUAUAAUGGUUACUACCCAUAAAGCUAUAUGGGAAUUGCUAAAUCACAGCCUGAACCAAUGAUUGAGCACUUGGUGAAGGGGCACAGCCAGCCCUGUGAGCACAGGUGAAAACAGAUUCUACCCCUUUCUAAGCCUCAUUUAAGGACUGACUGCCACAAGGGAGAGUUCUCUACCUGGAGAUCCCCCUGAUUUGGAAUAUUUAACAGGCCUUGAUCCUUGGCAUGGUCUCUGCCUGCCUCAGAACACCAACACUGCAGGCUGGGAACUGACAGCUGGAUCUGCAGGACAGCAACUGCAUCUCUUUGCUCCUGAGACUUGGGGAGAGCCCUCAGGGCUGUGACAAAGUAGACACAACUGAGGUGACCACUUUAACAUCUUUAAUCUUCUUGCUGAGUAAUUACCAAACUCAGAACAUCUGCACCAUGCGGGCGCCAGUGGCUUUUUGCUGUAACAUCCCUUGGGAUGAGAGAUGAUGGCACUGAGUUGGUCCAUGAAGGCUCAUAGACCUCAACAAUUCAGCAUGAGUCUGGGGUGAUGAAGAACCAGAAGUUGUGCAUCACCAGGCUCCUGCACUGUUUAUCCUGUCUGCAAGCCCAGGCUCCUCCUGUCAUGUCUGGGAUGGUUGCUUCCUUGAAGAGAGCAUGGGACCAGAGUCAGCCACAAUUCUCAUGUCGGGAUGCUCGUGCUCGAGGUGGAGAUGGGACCUGCAGGAAAUGGUAAAACUGUGAGAUCCCACCUGGAAGAAGCUUCCUCGCAGAUUUCUGGUUGACAUGAAGAGUCUGUCUUUUGUUUUCCCACACUGCUGGAGGAUGGUAGCAAAAACAUUAAUGGAUGUGGAUCAGCAACAUUGCUCACAGACUGGGAGAGAAGGAAGAAUAUCAGGCCAAAGAGCUUUGUCUUUCUGUCAUCUAGCAAGGACUGUGUAUGACGGACUCUUCUGUCUAAUGAAUAGAGUGAUGCAAGAAAUCUGCAAAGCAACAUUGAAGGGAUGCUGCACUGAAGGAAAACAAGGAAGCUACAGAAAUUACAGGAAACUCAUUUUUUAGGUACAGAAUGGGAAAAUAUUCUAUAAGAAUGUUGUCCUUGUGAUCUGAAAGCUAAUUUGAGUGAUUUGGGCAUGAGAAACUGAGGGGUGGGCAGGUAAUGUGAGCCAUGAGUGUUCUUUUUCUUCACCUGUCUAUAGAUAUUCAGCUUUUCUGCUGUUAAACAGAACUGAGAUUCCCAAAUACUUUCAUCAAGAUUUUAUGCUGCUCAAACCUACUGUUCUGGUCAGAAACACAACAGCUCCUCCACUGCAGGGCCCAGAACUCACUUAAGAUAUGAUACAGAGUUUAUGAAUCUGCAAGCAGUCCAGAAAUUAGGCCCCUUCCAACUGUUCCCAUUGAUGUGAUGAGAAAGUAUGACAUUCUUCUGCAUUCCUUAAGCACCUGCUGCACGUUUAUUGAGUAGAAUUAAAAAAGAGCUCUCCAGGCCUAUACGUGAUGCUGGGUGUCAAACAACCUUGCUAGCACCCGGACUACCUGCACCAUGGAGAAGUGGGAGACUUCCUAAUCCUGCUCCCAGCUCUUUGCCUGCAGCAGCCCAUAUGAAACAGGACAGCUAGGAACUGGGCUCCUAUUGCAGCUGCAGAGAAAGGACUUUGCACUGGGAGCCAUCUACAGCACUUUGUAUUUAUGGACCUUGCUUUGAUAACAUUUCACUUGUUUUUCCUUUCAUUUCUUUUUUUCCUCUCUUCCCCCCUCCCCCCUGUUUCUUCUGUCAAAUCCCAGUUUCCAAAUGAAGGUUUGCACCAAGUUGAGUGAAAGCACAACAAUAAUCUAUUUGUAACAAAAUACUUCUCUUUUGCUUUAGUAAACUUAGUGCUUCCCUGUGAAAACAAACUCUUUAAUUACUCAGGUGUGACUACUCACUGUAUUAAAUCACCAUACCACCUCCUCAGCGUAAUAACACAGUUCUUUACAAUUUCAUUUUAGAAUCAUUCUUCUCUUGCUGACAUUUAAUUUUGUACAGGAGUAACACUAUCAUAAAAGAGCCCAGGUGCAAAAAUAUUAUGUUUUUAGUAAUAAUGUACUGUCCACUACUAUUAAAAACUAGAAAAACUAUCAGUGCUGCUCCAUAUCGAAUGGGAUUACUUAGCUUAAAUGUUUAAGAGGAAUCAUUUAAGAGCUCUGUUGCAGCACAGGUGUCUGUGCACCUCUCCUACACCUGGCCAUUUGACGAUACACUUUCAUAUGUGAGAUUUCAAACUUUCUCACAGGCAAAUAUUUUUUGAACAUUUCUGCUCACAAUUGCAAACACAAAGUUCUUCACCUAUUACCAAUAGCUGCCACUAAACCAUGUCCCUCAGCACGACAUCCAGUCUUUCCUUGAACACCCCCAGGGUCGGUGACUCCUCCACCUCCCUGGGCAGUCUGUUCCACAUGGAGAAAUACAACCUUCCAGGAAUGAUUCAUGCCAUUCUGAUGUAGGUUUUCUCUAUCAAACAUCUGCAGUAAGGCUGCAAUGGCAGUACUAUGCUGCCUUACAAGUAGAGCUUCUUACCUCAGGCAGAGAUGUUGGAGGAAAGAAGAGCUGCAGUUUUCUGUCCUUUGCCAUUUGCCCAGAACUCUGUAGCUUCCAGGUUCCUCUCUUUCAUCUCCUUUCUGCUGGCCUUUUCGCACAGAUCAAAUCUCUCUGAGAUUUCUCUUUAUGUUAAUAUUGCCCUUAUUUUUUAUCCUCGAUUUCUCUCAGAAAGUUUCUGCGUGUUCUUAUCUGCAACUCUAAUCUCUGUUUACUGCUCUUAUUCUUGAGCUGCAAGUGGUUUGCAUGGUGGUUUCUCCUGUCAUGUUUUUAUCAGGCAUCCUCCAGUUACAAUUCUGUGUUCACCCUGUUUUGCCUGAGGUUCUGUUUACCUUCUCUAUCUGCUCUGGUCCUCAUGUUUUAAGGCCAUUGGGUUUCUCAUAAUUGCAAGGUUUGGGCCUUUUUCAAAUGGUUGGUUUUUUAUCUUACCGAGUGUACGUUUCUCUUUUCUCCCUUCAUUGGACUGUUCAUUUUCAAGUCUUUUAAUCAAAUGAAAGGAAUUAAAAAUGAGGAGGGAAAACCCAAGAAUUUAAAUUCCAGUCUAUUUUUCUACCACAAAGAACCAAGAAUUCUUUCUAUUUAAGACAGUCACAGAUUUUAUCAUUGUGACUGGUUUCCAUUAACUUUGUAAGUAGAAAGACAUUUAGCAAAGUUGAAAGCUGUCUCUUAUGUGAUGACAGACUUUGCCUGUUUUAGUAUUUUUACUGGUUAACUACCAAACCCUGAGUCUAUUGCUGUCUACGGCCAGCAUUUAGUGUUCACUAAAAGAAACAUGACUUAGAAAUAUAUCUUCCAUACUAAGCUUUUGAAAACACAUAGUAUUUUGAGUUAUAGAAACAACAAUUUUAGCGUGUGAAAAGAACUGUUUCCACAAGACCUUCUUGAGAGAAACAGCAGAAAAGGGUGCAAAGGGUCAAGAAGAAAGCAUGAUAUGUAGUCAGCUGCCUCAUCUUUAUACAGGACAACCUAAUUAGUACUCAUGCAUACAACUAAAGCAGCAUGAACUGGUUAUAUGGAUUGACAAGCUGGUUAAACCAACAAUGGCACCAUGUUGGGAUGCAGUAACAGCAAGUGGGAUUUUGUUGUCAAGGCUCAGUUGAUGCCUGUUGAAACCCUAUAGCCUUUGCCAUCACUGUGGUACCAUAGCCUAUUUACUAUUCAACAAAGGAAGUCUCGGCUAGACUUUCCCAUUUCAGUUCACACAAGUCAGGUUAGGGUAGAUGACUGAGGGGAGUGAAAAGCUCCUCCACUGUUCCAUUUCUUAUCUGUCUGGAUUUUAAUUUUUGCAGGUUCUUGGAGGGACUUUUCUAAUACAGAAGUUCUCUGAUGUCCUUGAACACUACUUCUUCCUUUCGCAUCUGACCUUGUAGGAUCAUUGAAUGUCCUGAGCUGGAAAGGACCCGCAAUGACCAUUGGGUCUAACUCCUGGCUCCACACAGGACUGACUAAACAUCAGACCAUAUGACAGAGCUUCUUGAUACUUCUUGAACUCCAGCAGCUCGAUACCAUGGGGAGCCUGUUCCCAGAAAGGCUCCAAUAUUGCAAGUUGAAAAAGUUUAUAGUGGGACCCAUAUAUCAAGCUCUAUGAAAUUCCAAAGGAACCUCCUUCACUAGAGUGGCUGUCUUAGAAGGGGCAAUACAGGGCCUUCCCUUGAAUUGUACCUCAUAUUCACUCUCAAGACUUUCCAAAGUCACCUGGAAGGCCAGAGACCUGCUGGUAGGUGCCAAGCACAUCCUCAGGCUGCUGCCCACCAUCUUGAGCUGCCCUUGAGCCUCUGGGCUUAGGACUUGGAGAGGGCUUGGUCGAACCCAAUGUUAUUCAACCCCUCCUGCUCUACGAAACUACAGCUUUGUCUUUCAAUCUUUACUCCUACUCAGGUACAACUGUUACUAAUCUCACUUAGUUUAUUACUGGAGAAAGCUUCCCCUAUUUAAUCAUUAGAAACAGAGAAUCCAUAAUAUAUUCAAAACUGCAAAAAAAUAAUCCUGGUUAAUUUUUUAUUCUCUGAGAAAAGUCAUUAUGACUGAUCUAUUCUUUCAAUCAAGUACACCCAUUUCGUUUAUUUUUAACAUUCCUUUCAUUAUGUUAUGAGCUUCUUAAGGAUAAUGAAAUAAUUGCUUGUCUCUUUGAUUGAUCUUUGUUUUGAAUGGAAACUUUAAUAAUGUUAUUCCUAGAGCAGGCUUACUGUAUAAUAAAAUUAAAGGAAUACAUGACACUAAAACACUUAAAAGCACAUGUUCCAAUAAUUAGACCUACAAUCUUUGUCAGCCAGAGGACUGUGCAGGGAGGAGUUUCUCUUGGAAUUUAUGAGGAAAGAAUUCAUGUUAUUUUGCGUAAUACAGCAAAAAAAAUUACUAAUGACAUUUAUUAAUAGCUGUGGCAAUCUGUGAACAAACUCCUUCUCCAGACUGCUCUGGAAAGACAUUUAUGUGCUACAGAAAACCCCAAAUUCUGUUAUUUUACAUCCUUGGUAAACUGGAUUCUUCUGCGUUGUAGCAAUAAUCACUGUUGGAAGCUUUUAUUCAGCCAAGAAAUUGAAAGAAGCCUUAGAGCAAAGGACAGCACAUGCCUCACUAGCAUAUCAAGGGAAAGUAGUAGAGAGGAGUGUUUUAACAAGAUCCAGGCUCUCAGAAGUAAGAAUACUAAAGUACAUGACUCUGUGAUAUCACACGAUGGAGGAAACUUUGAUAUAAUUGGGUAUCUGUGAAGAGCAGAUAUGCACGCAUGCAAAUUAGAAGGGGAAAAGAAAGGAAUAACAGAAAAUCAGAACCUAGAUGCACAUUUUUUCAGCUUGAAAUACAUCUGUGUUCAUUCCUGCACUGAUGAUUAGAGCAUAAGUAAGACUGUGUAGGAAAGCUAUACUAGAUUGUACAGGCAGGCAGCUACUUGUUCCUCAAAGAAUUCAAACAGAAUUGGUCAGAAAAGUAUUUAAUCCCCAGAAAAUGACUUCAAAAAGCCUUUUGGACACAAAGAUGAGCGUAAGGCAAAAGCAUGGGGAUCAAUAACUUCCUGAAAUGUAACUUCUUUCUCAUCUUCUUUAACCUGAGAUCCCAGGUCAUCAAAUUAUUCAGUUUGUUUUGGUUGUUUCAUUUUGUUUUUGUCCAAUUGCAAGUACACUCAGUUUAAAUACGUGGGUUUUGGCAGAGAAGGGUGGAAUUUUUUCACUUCUUUGAAUCCUAAACCUGGUCAUAUUUCCUUAUUUAAGCUUGGUUGGACUUUGCUGCACUCUGGCAUGGAGGAGGGAGAAGCAAGCUGGGGUGCUCAUUGAGAAAGGAAAGGCAUUGUGGUGGCUCUUUCCAGGAGGUGAGUUUGUUUCCCAAGGAAACAAGCUGGAUCACCCAAUAGCUGCUACACGGCACAAUCACUCAUUUUUAAUUCAGUGUGAUCCCAGCACUGUUUGUGUAUAGCCCAGUCCUCAGAUGGAAUACAAUCAUGUUGUAGCUCAUUUUUAUAUCAGAUGAGGAUUCAUUAGAGAUAAGACUCUUUAGCAUCCACCCACACUUGGUACUAACAGUGAGAAACCUGUUUCACAAUGUCUUACAGCAUGGUGCAGUGACUUGAAAGGAAAAGUGAACCCAAGUGAACCUUGAGAACCUAAGUGAACGGGGGAGAUCUAGUUAAUACUCUGUACUUUUCCAAGUUGGAUUUAUGGCUUUUAACUUUUCUGUUCUUGAGAGGUUGGGCAGCUGGCUGAAGCUGGCCAAUCCAUGCUUUUGAAGCAUGGAUCUUCUAUUCCUAUCAGAGGAGUCAAAGCUACAGGUACAUCUAACAAGCCUGGGACUAUCUGGAUUUCUAAGUUCAUGAUGGAAAAGGGUAUUGUCCUUGUUUUUCAGGAUGCUUAUAAGCCUAUGUUAGUAAACACAGAUGAUGGCAAUUAAGGCUUUGGGAGAAUCUUGGCAUGUUGGAACUGACCGCUUUUCUGAUUGAGAACUGAGAUAGUGGGAGAACUUUUUAUCCCCUGGUUGAGCAAGAACAUCUUGAAUCUGUUUGUGUGUGUACGAAAAAAACUGAUUAAACCUCUACGGGCCGGAUUCCUCAAGGAUGAUAAAUGCUCAGCUGGCUUUAGGAUCCUGCACGAAAAUAUGAGUUAACCUGGUGAGCUUUUGGAUUUCAGAUAAAAGUGAGGGGCAAGGCUACGAGGCACACACAAUGAAAUGUCACCACUAGGAGGUCACGUUUUUCCAUGUAGAGAGCUGAUGAAAGCCCCCAAUUGGGUGCUUUUUGCUUUGUGUUAUUAAUAAACUCAACAAACGUUA